AUUGAACGCUGGCGGCAGGCCUAACACAUGCAAGUCGAGCGGAUGAAGGGAGCUUGCUCCUGGAUUCAGCGGCGGACGGGUGAGUAAUGCCUAGGAAUCUGCCUGGUAGUGGGGGAUAACGUCCGGAAACGGGCGCUAAUACCGCAUACGUCCUGAGGGAGAAAGUGGGGGAUCUUCGGACCUCACGCUAUCAGAUGAGCCUAGGUCGGAUUAGCUGGUUGGGGGGGUAAAGGCCUACCAAGGCGACGAUCCGUAACUGGUCUGAGAGGAUGAUCAGUCACACUGGAACUGAGACACGGUCCAGACUCCUACGGGAGGCAGCAGUGGGGAAUAUUGGACAAUGGGCGAAAGCCUGAUCCAGCCAUGCCGCGUGUGUGAAGAAGGUCUUCGGAUUGUAAAGCACUUUAAGUUGGGAGGAAGGGCAGUAAGUUAAUACCUUGCUGUUUUGACGUUACCAACAGAAUAAGCACCGGCUAACUUCGUG
rnacentral:rRNA from 1 species